AAUAUUAGUCAAUGCUCGCAAGAGUGAACUAGCUAACUGAAAUAACAGGAUCCAUUACGUGUGGUGAAUGUUAUAACGUAAGGGAAAAAAAUGAUAUUACCUUACUAUAAGUGUUGUCCAAAACUGGUGCCAGAAGACUCGGUAAGGCCAGAGACGCAAACGUUAAUCGUCCUAAUCAGGCGUAAAGGGUAUGUAGGCUGCUUUAAAAGUAUUAUAUUUAAUAGCUCUAUAUAAAUAAUUUAUUUUUAUGUAUAAUAAAAAUAUUUUUAAUAAAUAGUAAAUAUAAAAUGAAUUAAAGCUAGAAUCAAAUUGAGGAUAAGUCAAAUAAUACUUAGUGUAGGGUUUAAAUCUGGUGAUAUUAGGUGGAGUACUAAAGGUGAAAGCUUUUUAUCUAGAAAUGAUUGACGCUGAGAAACGAAGGUGAGAAAAGAAAAUAGGAUUAGAUACCCAGAUAUCUCUCACAGUCAACGAUGAAUGGUGGUUGUUAGUUUAAUAUGACUGAUAACGAUGUUAACACGAUAACCAUUCCGCCUUGCGAGUACGGUUGCAAAACUGAAACCAAAAAAAUUAGUCGGUCUCGAAGCAAACGAAGUGAAGCAUGUUAUUUAAUU
rnacentral:rRNA from 1 species